rnacentral:rRNA from 1 species
GACGAACGCUGGCGGCGUGCUUAACACAUGCAAGUCGAACGGAAAGGCCCUGCUUUUGUGGGGUGCUCGAGUGGCGAACGGGUGAGUAACACGUGAGUAACCUGCCCUUGACUUUGGGAUAACUUCAGGAAACUGGGGCUAAUACCGGAUAGGAGCUCCUGCUGCAUGGUGGGGGUUGGAAAGUUUCGGCGGUUGGGGAUGGACUCGCGGCUUAUCAGCUUGUUGGUGGGGUAGUGGCUUACCAAGGCUUUGACGGGUAGCCGGCCUGAGAGGGGGACCGGCCACUGGGGACUGAGAUACGGCCCAGACUCCUACGGGAGGCAGCAGUGGGGAAUAUUGCACAAUGGGCGGAAGCCUGAGGCAGCAACGCCGCGUGCGGGAUGACGGCCUUCGGGUUGUAAACCGCUUUCGCCUGUGACGAAGCGUGAGUGACGGUAAUGGGUAAAGAAGCACCGGCUAACUACGUG